rnacentral:rRNA from 1 species
GGCGGCAUGCUUACCAUGCAGUCGAACGGCAGCGGGGGUAGCUUGCUCCUGCCGGCGAGUGGCGAACGGGUGAGUAAUACAUCGGAACGUGCCCUGUAGUGGGGGAUAACUAGUCGAAAGACUAGCUAAUACCGCAUACGACCUGAGGGUGAAAGUGGGGGACCGCAAGGCCUCAUGCUAUAGGAGCGGCCGAUGUCUGAUUAGCUAGUUGGUGGGGUAAAGGCCCACCAAGGCGACGAUCAGUAGCUGGUCUGAGAGGACGAUCAGCCACACUGGGACUGAGACACGGCCCAGGCUCCUACGGGAGGCAGCAGUGGGGAAUUUUGGACAAUGGGGGCAACCCUGAUCCAGCAAUGCCGCGUGUGUGAAGAAGGCCUUCGGGUUGUAAAGCACUUUUGUCCGGAAAGAAAUCGCACUGGUUAAUACCUGGUGUGGAUGACGGUACCGGAAGAAUAAGGACCGGCUAACUACGUGCCAGCAGCCGCGGUAAUACGUAGGGUCCAAGCGUUAAUCGGAAUUACUGGGCGUAAAGCGUGCGCAGGCGGUUGUGCAAGACCGAUGUGAAAUCCCCGGGCUUAACCUGGGAAUUGCAUUGGUGACUGCACGGCUAGAGUGUGUCAGAGGGAGGUAGAAUUCCACGUGUAGCAGUGAAAUGCGUAGAGAUGUGGAGGAAUACCGAUGGCGAAGGCAGCCUCCUGGGAUAACACUGACGCUCAUGCACGAAAGCGUGGGGAGCAAACAGGAUUAGAUACCCUGGUAGUCCACGCCCUAUACGAUGUCAACUAGUUGUUGGGGGAUUCAUUUCCUUAGUAACGUAGCUAACGCGUGAAGUUGACCGCCUGGGGAGUACGGUCGCAAGAUUAAAACUCAAAGGAAUUGACGGGGACCCGCACAAGCGGUGGAUGAUGUGGAUUAAUUCGAUGCAACGCGAAAAACCUUACCUACCCUUGACAUGCCACUAACGAAGCAGAGAUGCAUUAGGUGCUCGAAAGAGAAAGUGGACACAGGUGCUGCAUGGCUGUCGUCAGCUCGUGUCGUGAGAUGUUGGGUUAAGUCCCGCAACGAGCGCAACCCUUGUCUCUAGUUGCUACGAAAGGGCACUCUAGAGAGACUGCCGGUGACAAACCGGAGGAAGGUGGGGAUGACGUCAAGUCCUCAUGGCCCUUAUGGGUAGGGCUUCACACGUCAUACAAUGGUGCAUACAGAGGGUUGCCAAGCCGCGAGGUGGAGCUAAUCCCAGAAAAUGCAUCGUAGUCCGGAUCGUAGUCUGCAACUCGACUACGUGAAGCUGGAAUCGCUAGUAAUCGCGGAUCAGCAUGCCGCGGUGAAUACGUUCCCGGGUCUUGUACACACCGCCCGUCACACCAUGGGAGUGGGCUUUACCAGAAGUAGUUAGCCUAACCGUAAGGAGGGCGAUACC